UCCUCCCUCUGGCGGCGUGCUUAACACAUGCAAGUCGUACGGUAAGGCCCUUUCGGGGGUACACGAGUGGCGAACGGGUGAGUAACACGUGAGUAACCUGCCCACAACUUUGGGAUAACGCUAGGAAACUGGUGCUAAUACUGGAUAUGUGCUCCUGCUGCAUGGUGGGGGUUGGAAAGCUCCGGCGGUUGUGGAUGGACUCGCGGCCUAUCAGCUUGUUGGUGGGGUAGUGGCCUACCAAGGCGGCGACGGGUAGCCGGCCUGAGAGGGUGACCGGCCACAUUGGGACUGAGAUACGGCCCAGACUCCUACGGGAGGCAGCAGUGGGGAAUAUUGCACAAUGGGCGCAAGCCUGAUGCAGCAACGCCGCGUGCGGGAUGACGGCCUUCGGGUUGUAAACCGCUUUCAGCAGGGACGAAGCUUUUUGUGACGGUACCUGCAGAAGAAGCACCGGCUAACUACGUG
rnacentral:rRNA from 1 species